UACAGAGGGUGCAAGCGUUAAUCGGAAUUACUGGGCGUAAAGCGUGCGUAGACGGUAGCGUAAGUCGGGUGUGAAAGCCCCGGGCUCAACCUGGGAAUUGCAUUCGAGACUGCUCUGCUAGGGUGCGGAAGAGGGAAGCGGAAUUUCCGGUGUAGCGGUGAAAUUCGUAGAUAUUCGGAAGAACACCAGUGGCGAAGGCGACUAACUGGACAUGUAUUGACGCUGAGGUGCGAAAGCGUGGGGAGCAAACAGG
rnacentral:rRNA from 1 species